rnacentral:rRNA from 1 species
UUUAUGGAGAGUUUGAUCCUGGCUCAGGAUGAACGCUGGCGGCGUGCCUAAUACAUGCAAGUCGAGCGAACAGAUGAGGAGCUUGCUCCUUUGACGUUAGCGGCGGACGGGUGAGUAACACGUGGGUAACCUACCUAUAAGACUGGAAUAACUCCGGGAAACCGGGGCUAAUGCCGGAUAAUAUGUUGAACCGCAUGGUUCAACAGUGAAAGACGGUUUUGCUGUCACUUAUAGAUGGACCCGCGCCGUAUUAGCUAGUUGGUGAGGUAACGGCUCACCAAGGCGACGAUACGUAGCCGACCUGAGAGGG